GACGAACGCUGGCGGCGUGCCUAAUACAUGCAAGUAGAACGCUGAAGGAGGAGCUUGCUUCUCUGGAUGAGUUGCGAACGGGUGAGUAACGCGUAGGUAACCUGCCUGGUAGCGGGGGAUAACUAUUGGAAACGAUAGCUAAUACCGCAUAAUAGCAGUUGUUGCAUGACAACUGUUUGAAAGGUGCAAUUGCACCACUACCAGAUGGACCUGCGUUGUAUUAGCUAGUUGGUGGGGUAACGGCUCACCAAGGCGACGAUACAUAGCCGACCCGAGAGGGUGAUCGGCCACACUGGGACUGAGACACGGCCCAGACUCCUACGGGAGGCAGCAGUAGGGAAUCUUCGGCAAUGGACGGAAGUCUGACCGAGCAACGCCGCGUGAGUGAAGAAGGUUUUCGGAUCGUAAAGCUCUGUUGUAAGAGAAGAACGAGUGUGAGAGUGGAAAGUUCACACUGUGACGGUAUCUUACCAGAAAGGGACGGCUAACUACGUG
rnacentral:rRNA from 1 species